GUGGUGGAGGCAGCUGCAGCAGGACUGCACUGCACACACUUACUGAGAAACGAGAGAUGUUUAUAACCAGAAAAAAGGUCAUAUUUUCUAGACUCUGGACUAUUCCUGAUCCUCUCCCUGUUGUUUUCCCAGGUGUACUCCAUCCAACAAAAGGCUCCACCAUGACAACACAGAGCUUCAGGUGAUGCAAUUUGAGAAGAAUUUGAUAACGUGAGAACUCCUUGGCCAAUGAUCUGAGCGUUUGUUGUCCCAGUGAUGCAUUAAAAAAGGAAUUUAUUGUUAGCCCCGGGGUGGAACUAAACUAUGGAAAAGCUGGAAGGCACUGAACUGGCUUGUCCAGUGGCUGCAGCAAUCCAGGAUCACCCAGGUUGGAAGAGACCUUCAGGACUGUGGGGUCCAACUGCACAGAUGCAGCUGUGGAAAGCACACACAGAGCCUGGGGCAGGUCCUGGAGGGCAGGGAAAAGGGACAAGCCCUGAAGAACCAGGAGCUACCUCUGCAGGCUCUGUCUCCCAGUGUUUGCUCCGAAUUCCUGGAGUCUGACCCCUUCCAGCACCCUGGGAUGUGGAAUUAUGGCACUGCCAGCAGCUCCUUCCCAAAAAACAGGCUAAGACCUGCUUUCCUCUUCAGAAGGACCCAGAGCUGUGCCCACCAUGGGACAGGGAUCCCAGCUGGACAGAGGGCACCUGUGGAGAACUGCAGACCAAUGCCCUGGAUAUGGAAAAGGUCAGGACAAACCUCUGCCUGUGCCAUGUCCUGGGCUGGCCUCCUGGAAUCCCAUCCCCAGGUUCCCCCACCCCUCAUUUUGUGUGGUGUGUCAAAUUUUGUAAUGGAAUACAGGGAUAUGCUUUG